rnacentral:rRNA from 1 species
UACGUAGGUGGCAAGCGUUGUCCGGAUUUAUUGGGUUUAAAGGGUGCGUAGGCGGUCUUUUAAGUCAGUGCUGAAAUACUCCAGCUUAACUGGAGGGGUGGCAUUGAUACUGGAAGACUUGAGUGUAGUCGAGGUAGGCGGAAUUGACGGUGUAGCGGUGAAAUGCUUAGAUAUCGUCAAGAACACCGAUAGUGAAGACAGCUUACUAGGCUACAACUGACGCUGAGGCGCGAAAGCGUGGGGAGCAAACAGG